rnacentral:rRNA from 1 species
UACGUAGGGGGCAAGCGUUGUCCGGAUUCAUUGGGCGUAAAGCGCGUGUAGGCGGCCAGGUAGGUUUGCUGUGAAAACUCGAGGCUCAACCUCGAGACGUCGGCGGAAACCCUCUGGCUAGAGUCCGGAAGAGGAGAGUGGAAUUCCUGGUGUAGCGGUGAAAUGCGCAGAUAUCAGGAAGAACACCCGUGGCGAAGGCGGCUCUCUGGGACGGUACUGACGCUGAGACGCGAAAGCGUGGGGAGCAAACAGG